ensembl:miRNA gga-mir-12218 gga-mir-12218
CUGGGCACAAAGAGGGCAGUGGGAGCAGGGAGAGCCUCAUGCCCUCUCUGUGCCAGG